rnacentral:rRNA from 1 species
UUGAACGCUGGCGGCAUGCCUUACACAUGCAAGUCGAACGGUAACGGGCCUUCGGGUGCCGCCGAGUGGCGGCCGGGUGAGUAAUACAUCGGAACGUGCCCGAUCGUGGGGGAUAACGAGGCGAAAGCUUUGCUAAUACCGCAUACGAUCUACGGAUGAAAGCAGGGGACCGCAAGGCCUUGCGCGGACGGAGCGGCCGAUGGCAGAUUAGGUAGUUGGUGGGAUAAAAGCCUACCAAGCCGACGAUCUGUAGCUGGUCUGAGAGGAUGAUCAGCCACACUGGGACUGAGACACGGCCCAGACUCCUACGGGAGGCAGCAGUGGGGAAUUUUGGACAAUGGGCGCAAGCCUGAUCCAGCCAUGCCGCGUGCAGGAUGAAGGCCUUCGGGUUGUAAACUGCUUUUGUACGGAACGAAAAGCCUUCUUUUAAUACAGGAGGGUCAUGACGGUACCGUAAGAAUAAGCACCGGCUAACUACGUG